rnacentral:rRNA from 1 species
AUACGGAGGGUGCAAGCGUUACUCGGAAUCACUGGGCGUAAAGCGCGCGCAGGCGGCUAUUUAAGUUGGAUGUGAAAGCCUACGGCUCAACCGUAGAACUGCAUCCAAAACUAUUUAGCUAGAGUGUGGGAGAGGAAGGUGGAAUUAGUUGUGUAGGGGUAAAAUCCGUAGAGAUAACUAGGAAUACCAAAAGCGAAGGCAAUCUUCUGGAACACUACUGACGCUGAGGCGCGAAAGCGUGGGGAGCAAACGGGAUUAGAUACCCUAGUAGUCC